rnacentral:rRNA from 1 species
CCUACGGGUGGCAGCAGUGGGGAAUAUUGGACAAUGGGCCACAAGCCUGAUCCAGCAAUUCUGUGUGCACGAUGAAGGUCUUCGGAUUGUAAAGUGCUUUCAGUUGGGAAGAAGAAAGUGACGGUACCAACAGAAGAAGCGACGGCUAAAUACGUGCCAGCAGCCGCGGUAAUACGUAUGUCGCAAGCGUUAUCCGGAUUUAUUGGGCGUAAAGCGCGUCUAGGCGGAAAAAUAAGUCUGAUGUUAAAAUGCGGGGCUCAACUCCGUAUUGCGUUGGAAACUGUUUUUCUAGAGUACUGGAGAGGUGGGCGGAACUACAAGUGUAGAGGUGAAAUUCGUAGAUAUUUGUAGGAAUGCCGAUGGAGAAGUCAGCUCACUGGACAGAUACUGACGCUAAAGCGCGAAAGCGUGGGGAGCAAACAGGAUUAGAUACCCCAGUA